ACAAUUGGAGGGCAAGUCUGGUGCCAGCAGCCGCGGUAAUUCCAGCUCCAAUAGCGUAUAUUAAACUUGUUGCAGUUAAAAAGCUCGUAGUUGAAUUUCUGCGUUGCGUUAUUCUUGCUUUUUGCUGGACUUUCGCUUCGCUUUUUUGUUUUACUUUGAGAAAAUUAGAGUGUUUAUCGCAGACUUUUGUCUUGAAUACUUCAGCAUGGAAUAAUAGAGUAGGACCUUGGUUCUAUUUUGUUGGUUUUUGAGCCUUGGUAAUGGUUAAUAGGAACGGUUGGGGGCAUUCGUAUUUAACUGUCAGAGGUG
rnacentral:rRNA from 1 species